rnacentral:rRNA from 1 species
AGCGCUGGAAACGGCGUCUAAUACUGGAUAUGAGACGUGAUCGCAUGGUCGUGUUUGGAAAGAUUUUUCGGUCUGGGAUGGGCUCGCGGCCUAUCAGCUUGUUGGUGAGGUAAUGGCUCACCAAGGCGUCGACGGGUAGCCGGCCUGAGAGGGUGACCGGCCACACUGGGACUGAGACACGGCCCAGACUCCUACGGGAGGCAGCAGUGGGGAAUAUUGCACAAUGGGCGGAAGCCUGAUGCAGCAACGCCGCGUGAGGGAUGACGGCCUUCGGGUUGUAAACCUCUUUUAGCAGGGAAGAAGCGAAAGUGACGGUACCUGCAGAAAAAGCGCCGGCUAACUACGUGCCAGCAGCCGCGGUAAUACGUAGGGCGCAAGCGUUAUCCGGAAUUAUUGGGCGUAAAGAGCUCGUAGGCGGUUUGUCGCGUCUGCUGUGAAAUCCCGAGGCUCAACCUCGGGCCUGCAGUGGGUACGGGCAGACUAGAGUGCGGUAGGGGAGAUUGGAAUUCCUGGUGUAGCGGUGGAAUGCGCAGAUAUCAGGAGGAACACCGAUGGCGAAGGCAGAUCUCUGGGCCGUAACUGACGCUGAGGAGCGAAAGGGUGGGGAGCAAACAGGCUUAGAUACCCUGGUAGUCCACCCCGUAAACGUUGGGAACU